rnacentral:rRNA from 1 species
GACGAACGCUGGCGGCGUGCUUAACACAUGCAAGUCGAACGGAAAGGCCCUGCUUUUGUGGUGUGCUCGAGUGGCGAACGGGUGAGUAACACGUGAGUAACCUGCCCUUGACUUUGGGAUAACUUCAGGAAACUGGGGCUAAUACCGGAUAGGAGCUCCUGCUGCAUGGUGUGGGUUGGAAAGUUUCGGCGGUUGGGGCUGGACUCGCGGCUUAUCAGCUUGUUAGUGGGGUAGUGGCUUACCAAGGCUUUGGCGGGUAGCCGGCCUGAGAGGGUGACCGGCCGCAUGGGGACUGAGAGACGGCGCAGACGCCUACGGGAGGCAGCAGUGGGGAAGAUUGCACAAUGGGCGGAAGGCUGAUGCAGCAACCCCGCGUGCGGGAUAACGGCCUUCGGGGGAAAAACCGCUUUCGCCUGAAAAGAGGCGUGAGUGACGGUAAUGGGUAAAGAAGCAACGGCUAACUACGUG